ACACUCUUUCCCUACACGAUGACUCUUCGGAUGGCUCUAUCUGGAGUGAUUUGAUUUUGAGCUGAAGCUCCGAGCCCAGCAAUGGUACAAAAAGCUAUCAAAUAGUACAACAUUCUGUACAGGAUUAUUUUUUAGCGUCUUCUGAACAAGGUACUCAUGUCAGAUGAUGUAUUAACUGCUCGUGGGAGUCGCUUUAUAUUCAGUUGCUGUGGGUCAUUGGUUAUAACAAAUA